CAUCAUUCUCCAAGCCGCCUCCGACCUGACCUCGAGUCCCCGACGUCAGUCUCUGACCCCGUGUCUCCAAGCCGCCUCCCAGUCCGAUCGAUCGAUCGCUACAAGACCGUGAUCGACUCUCUUCGUAGCUCCAAAGGGAAGCUGAUUAUAAUCUCCGACCUGACCUCGAGUCCCCGACGUCAGUCUCUGACCCCGUGUCUCCAAGCCGCCUCCCAGUCCGAUCGAUCGAUCUGUUUACACUCUGGGAUACAAGACCGUGAUCGACUCUCUUCGUAGCUCCAAAGGGAAGCUGAUUAUAAUCUCGAACAAUUGCCCUCCUCUAAGAAAGUCGGAGAUCGAGUACUAUGCCAUGCUUGCUAAGGUUGGAGUUCAUCACUACAAUGGAAG